AUUGUGUAUUUGAAUAGAAGAGAGAAAUUUUUUAAGAAUCUUUUUCCUCUACCCAAUUAUUUUUUUAAGGUAUCAAAGAACUGUCAUAUCUCACAGAAUCAUUCUUAAUAAGUAUAUAUAUAUUUAAAAUGAUAUCUUUUUUGGCAACAUUUUUCCCCAGGUUUAUCGAGGUAUAACUGGCAAAUAAAAUUGUAAGCUAUUUAGAGUGUACAACAUGAUUUGAUAAACGUAUACAUCAUGAGUUUGAUAUACGUAUACAGCCCCCCACUGAAUUAAUUAACACAACUUAAAUGGUAAGCUUUUAGAAUCUUAUGUAUUUUUAUUAAAACCUUAUAAAAUACUUGGAAUAAAUCAUAAAAUAUUAAAAUACAAAUAAACUUGUUUCUUCUAGUAUUUCUCUAUAGGAGUUACAAUAGGUCAAAUAAGGAGAGAGAAUACAGUUAUUAAAUAUUCCUAAAUAUGUUUGAAGCAUUAAUUAAAAUAUUACUAUAUUUUUCAAUCAAACAUUUACAGAGAGCAUACCACAUGACAGGUAUUUCACUAAAUGUUAAAGAUGCAGCUGGCAAACAAGCAAGACAUGAUCCUUGUCCUCAUUAAGGUAACUAUCUACUGGGGCAAUGAAUCAUAAGUUAGGGAUAUAAUAAAUGCUACAAAGGAAAAUCAAUCCAUUUUUCAUUUUCUGAAACAUUUCAUGUAAGAGAGAGGUAACUUACUAAUAAAAACUUUUCACAAAUAAAAUAACUGAGACUUGCGUUACUUUUACAUGCAGUGUUAAAAAAGCUGAAUCUGUUUCUUUAAUGGCUAGAGAUCUUUAGAUUUUCUACUUACUGUAGUCAACUUUGGUAAUUUACAUUUUUUAGAAAACUAGAAAUUCUAAAUUUUUUCAACAUUUUCUUAUUUUAAAAAUAAACCUGUUCAAAGUUGGUAUUACAAUUUUGAAAAUCUCAACAUGCACCCUUUAUAUUUCUAAUAUUGUUAGUGGGUCUUUCUUCUAUUAUAUCUUGAUCAAUAUUGUCAGUAGGAUUUGCCCAAGUUCAAACAACGGCUCCAUCAUUUACAAGUUGUGUGGACUAAAAGUAAGUUUCUAACUUCUCUGGGCUCAGUUUCCUCAAUUUUUAAAUAGAAACGAAAACAGCACUUUUCCCAAAGGAUUAGUGAAGGAAUUAAAUGAGAUAAUACAUGUACUUAGAACAUGCUUGGCAAAUAGUUAAGUGCUCAAUAAAUAUUACCUAUUAUUAUUAUUAAGUGUGGAUUUAUUUUUAUGAAUUUUGUUUGAAAUACUUCUUGUUUGUAUAAUUCUCCCAUCUAAAGCCUCGUGGUUUUCAUUAAUUUUGGAAAACUGACAGCCAUCUUCCUUUGAGACGUUGUCUCAUUUGUUCUGUUCUCUGGUUCUGAAACUCUAGGUGGACAUUUUCAUUCUGUCUUCCAUGUUCUUAACAUUUCCUAUAUGUAUAUAUAUUUUCUCUUUGUAUAUCUGUGCUGUUUUCUGGGUGAUAUCCUCAAUUCCCUCUUCAAAUUAAGUAAUUCUUCAAAUGACUAUACAACAAUAGUAAGAAAUACAUUAUGGCACAUGGAAAGAACACAGAAGUUUGUUGAAUGAAAAUCACUGACAUUUUAAUUUCAAUGACUGUAUUUUUUCAUAUCUAAGCAUUGUUUGGUCUCUUUCAAAUCUUCCUAUUCCUCUUUCAAAUUGCACUUUCAAGUUUUCCAUUAUGGUUACAAUUCCUCCUCUCCUUUUAACCUCCAAUCAUUUUAAACAAACUUGCUUUAUAGUCUCUUUACGGCUUUUCUAUUAUCUCCUGUUCUUGUAUUUAGGCUCUUGCUUGUUGUAUCUACUCAUUUUGUACAUGGUAGUUUGUCAGCUUUCAGUGUGUACAACCUUCAGUAGAGGUUGCUUUAUUCUGAGAGACUUUGUGUGUCCUGAGCUAUGAGAACAUACCAAAAGGACGAGUACAUUUGUUCAUUUGCUUUUGCAGGACCCCAAAGCAUUUCACUGACCAGGAAUACAGGAAAGAAAUUAAUCUACACACUUGGAAUUUGUGUUAACUAUUUACAUGUACACACCUUUCUAUUUGUUUCAUAUUACUCUUUAAAUUAUUAUAUGGAUGACUUCAUCAUUGUUAAGAAAUUUCUGGCUUCAGUGAGCAAAUAAAUAUAACAUUCUAUUAGAUGUUUUUCCUUGAAAUAAUAUUACAUUUAAAUUAUAUCAGAAAUAUAUAUCCCUAGCCCAAGUACUGGCAGUUCUAAUCUUUCCUAUAAAUCAUCUUUUUAAUAAAGAACAGCAAUAUACUGCUGUGUACUUUUAGGAGGACUUGUGAUAAUGAUAAUAAAUACAUUUGGGUAAUAUGUUAAGUUUACAUAAUCCUUUAAAUAAAUUUAAAACACAGCAUCUUUCAUUUGUUCCUCACAACAAGCUUGGGAAUAAGAUAGGGCAGGAUUUACUACCCUCAUUUUAGACAUAAUGUUCUGAGGUCCAAAGCUUUUGGCUCAUGUGCACACACAGAAAUUUCACUCUCAUUAUUCAUUAGUAAUACACAUAUCUGAUUUUCUACUAUCAGAAACUAUUCUUUUUUUUAUUUUCUGCUAAUUCUGGAGAUAAAAUCCUACAACACUCGCCAUCUACUUCCUUGCUGCUAGACACAUAAUACUGCUACAGGCAUUAUGGAACACCAUAUAAUCUCAGUUCUAAGCCAUAUCUUUCAUACUUUAACACUGCUACAAUAGGAUGGAUCUUCCAAUUAAUGUCAAAUAAACCUGCUGUGACUAUACAGAAAAGGAAAUUAUGAUACCACCACAAACCUAAUUGUGCACAUAAAAUAUCUGUUCAUCUGAAAUCUCUUUGGUUGAGAUAUUUGUAUUUGUAGCACCAAAUGUAACUUAGUUCAAAUUUGAGUCCUUAGAUGUCUAUUAAAAUUUUUUUAAAAGAUUAUACUGUGAUGUUGCUCUGAAACAGAAAGUAAAAUAUACAUACAAAGUCAAUUGUCACAUACCACUAAGAUAAUUAAAUACAGCAGAAAAAUGUGAAAUCUUUAAUAACUGAUUGCUAAAUUCCAAUGCCAGGACAGAAUUUAUGCAUUAGGGAAAACUCAGAUCUUCUCUUCCAAACAUUCCAAUGAAGCACUGACAGAUUAAUUUUCUAAACACUGCUUUUGUAGUAUUACUCUCUUCAAAAACCUAUAUGGCUUCUUAUUACUUCCUAAUUCAAAUACAUGUUUCCAUACAACUUUCAAGGCCAUACAUUAUUUGGCUUCAUAAAUUUUUGCAAUUUAAAUUUCCAUCUUUUCCUCACUAAGUCUCUGCUUCAGUGAGGUCAGUCUCUUAAAGGAAGUCCUCAUCUUCCUUACAACCCUGCCAUGAUCUGUUCACUUCUCCUCACACAUUCCCACCUCCAUCCUUUUCUCCCUAGAGAAUAAAACUCUACCCAUCCUUCCAUCAAAAUUCAAGUCUUAAUCUACUUAAUUUUGAGCUCCUGUUGUAGCUAGAAACACUAUUAUAUAAGCUACCAAUGGCACACAUCUAUUUAUUUGUUUCUUAAUUACUCCUUUUUCCUACCUAACUCAGAUCUGAACAGCCUUGGAAAUAGGGAAAUCAUCCAUCCUUUUUUUCCUCCAUUAGACGAAAGAGUUUAUUAGAAAGAAAAGGAGGACUUAAAAGAUAGGAAACUAAAUCUCAGAAAUUAAAUCAAGUGCCUAGAUCGAAGAGCUAAAUAGAUCAACCUAAUCCAAAACCCAGUUUAGUGAAUCUUUCCCUUCAACACAGUACUGACACAUGAGUAAAGGAGCGAAACAAAAUAUGCAUCAAGCCCAGAUCCGAUGUUGCUUUUUAGCUUAAUAUAAAAAAUAAAAUCACAAAUAGGGCCCAUUAUAUACUUCUGUUUCUUGCAUGUUAACCCACGGCAUUCCUCUUUCCCAAUUAGAAGUUUAUGAACUUUGAAUUAAAGUUAUAAUACAAAUUAGGUGUGAUUAUUGGAAGAAGUUGAGAGAGGAUCAGUUAUGGACUUGUUAGAGACACAAUGCUGUAUUUAAAAUUGGUAAACCAGCCUUAAAAGUCUCUCUUGGGUGCUAUUUACACAUUUUUUUUUCUGAUUACAAUCAUGCAAUAUGAUUCCAUUUGGGAUUUAGCGUAAAGCUGGAAUGCUGUAUUCCCUAAAGCACGAAUAGUGUUUAGUUUAAAAGAAAAAAAAAGGAAUGUGAUACUUCUGGUCAAAAGUUCUCUUUCUGGAAUUCAUGAUAAAUGAAAAGAAUUUUGGCAGAUCCUAUGUCAUUCUGCAUCCACAAGCAACGUGCAAUUCCUCAUGUCAUUACAACUUGGUUAUUCACUGAAACAACUGAUCUUAUUACAAAACAAGUUAAAGAAACAAACAAACCCUCUUUCAGUUCCUGCCUUGAUUCACUACGAGAAUUCACCUUUCCUUUCACCUCACACAUAAUCCCAGAUACUGAAUGCCAAAUGUUGGUCUCACUGAAAGACGGAUAUUAGACAAUUUAAACAUUCAGAGAAAUUGAAUUCAGCUAUCCUUAGUCACUGACUGAUGACUAUUCCUAUUUGUACAUUUUUAAAGUAAUACUAUGUCCUUCCCGGAAGUUCUUUUUGCAUUCCAGAUUACAACAGGGAUUGAAGUACAACAAAGGAAAAAUGCAAAAAGUCAAGUGUCAGGACAAGAGUUAGAAGCAUGUACACAUAUGUAGUAACAGUUGGCAACAUCAAAGAAGAACCUCGUCAGAGAUAUGGAAUUGUCAUUCAAAUGAGAAAUAAUCGUGCACAGAGAGGUAAUGGCUGAACUACACUUAGAUAAUAGUAAAAACUUUCAGCAGGAAAAACUGAAGGAUUUCCCUGUGAUCUGGAUAGUUUUAUAAAAUACCACAAGAGGACAUCUCCCAAAGAAUGUGAUAAUUAGGUUUUUGUAUUUAUAUGAAAAAAUUUCUUUAAAACCUACAAGAAUUAAAAUCAUCUACCCCCACUUAAAAAAAAAGGUAAAACAUUUUCUUAUGCCACUGAAGUAAACAAAUUUUCUUACAUUUCUUCAGACCAAGCUAUAAAUAUACACAUGUAACAGUUUUGUAAAUAAAAAUUUGUAUCUGCCCAUGCCUUCCUUUCUCACUUAACAAUAUGGAGAGCUUUCCACAAAAAUCUACCUAAGCUUUUCCAUAAAUCUGACAUUUGGUGUAUUUACCUAAUCACAAGACUACUGAGGUUUUCAGUAUUAUUCCAAGAAAUACCAUUGAACAUGCUUGUUAUAACAAAUUAGAAUCUCAUCAUUAAUGUGUGAAUAUGCCUACAUAGUUACCAACACUUACAGAUCUUCUAUACUUUGGCCAAUCUGGCAGCCAAAUUCUUCACUUGGUAUUUCACCGUUAUUUUAAUUUGCCUUUAAAAAUUAUGACUGAGAUUGGAGGCAGAUUCUCAUGAUUACUGGCAAUGUCAAUUUCUUCUUCAGUGAGGAGACAGUUCUAUUUUUUUCCUGUUGGGUAUUAUUAUUCCUUUUAAGUGUGCUCAUUGAUUAAGAAUAUCAAUCUUUUUGUCUUUUAGCUUGGUUGACAAUGUCUACUACAGUACACAGUGUUAAGAAAAUGUAUCCAAACUUGAAAAUGAAAAGAGUAUAGCACUUCCUUUCAAUGUCACACUGGAGCACUGUCUUAACAAGACUCUCAAAGGAUUAUUUAAUUUCUGAGAAUGAACCUAUAAUGGAUUUUUAAAUUUACCAUUUGAUUGGAACUCACUGUGAAGUUCCAUGUAACUUGUACAUUUCUUUUCUGGAGAAAACAUAAACCCCAAAGUUAUGAUUUUAUAACUCUGUAGGAUAUUGACUACUUUCGAUUGUAUUCUAUAGUAUCUUUUCGAAAAAGCCUUUCCAGGUGGAUUAUGUAAGUCUCUGUUCCUCAGAUGUUCUGGAAUCUAGCUGUAUUAUCUUACUAGUCCCUGCAUUAAUUAAAAGGUUUAAUUGAAUUUUUGACAUGUGUUCAUGCUAUAUUUCUAUAAGAGUGGUGUUUCUAAUGCUUAAAAAUUAUAUUUUUACAGAAGCAUUUAACUCAUCUGCAGAUAGUUCUAUCAUUGUUUUUCUUUUAAGGCUUCUGGGCUUUUUCUUUAACUGAGGAAGGCCAUAUCCAUCUCUGCUUUGUAAAAAUGAACAAAAAUGUACAUUUUCUUAUGUUUUCCAAACAUUAAAAAAAAUUAUUUGGAAUUUUAUCAUGAAUACUAUAAUCACGUGGUUUUA